CGAGUAUACUGGCGCACGGGUGAGUAAUGUGUAAGUAACCUACCUAUGGGACGGGGAUAACCUUGAGAAAUUGGGGCUAAUACUGGAUAACGCAACAUCAUCGCAUGGUGGAGUUGUUAAAGUUGCUUCGGUAACACCUAUGGACGGGCUUGCAUUCGAUUAGCUUGUUGGUGAGGUAAUGGCUCACCAAGGCUACGAUCGAUAGCUGGUCUGAGAGGAUGAUCAGCCACACUGGAACUGAGACACGGUCCAGACUCC
rnacentral:rRNA from 1 species